UUUUAAGUACUCUUGCAGAAACUUAUACAUAGUCACAUAGAUAGGACUAAGAAAUAAAUCAUCAAUCCAUUUGAUCAUGAUCAUAAGCCGACCAUUAUGUCUUCGUCGGUUCUCUUCAGCACCAGUACUAGUAGUAAUAUUAUUAUUCAGCUGCAUAUAUAUAAUUAAUAAUACGUCGGUAGCAGCAGCCUCCGUGUCUUUGAAAGACAACAUCGCCAUGAUGAACAUCAUAAUUGCGGGCUCAGAAGAGGUUCUGAUGGAAUCGGAAGUGAGUCAUAGGCUUCUUGCGGCCUCUGGAGGAGACCCCAUAUCUUAUAGAUCUCUGGAGAAACCUCCAUUCUGUGAUGCGAAAAUAUAUGGCAAUUGCAUUAAACCCAUCAGCGGGAACAAUCGGCGCCCUUGCACUUACUACAAUACUUGCAAGCGUGGAGGCAGCUGAUUUCUUGAUGCUUCGUGCACGAUAAUCAGCGAUAUCGCUCAUGCACUUACUACAUUUGUUUGUAUUAUGGCAACUGCAAAAAAGAAAAAAGAAAAAUUGUGAUGUAGCAAUAAGAUGUAAUAAUUAAUUAAUUACAUCAUUAAAAUUAUGUUAUUAAAUCUUUAAUUAACUUCUCCACUUUCUUUAUUAAUCCAAAGUUCUGCAGAUCUGAAGGUAAUUAAUUGCCAUUUUUUCUGAAGCUGGCUAUGAAUAGAACUUACAAAAUGAUCAAAUUAAUGCAAUUUAGAUGAGGGCAAGCAUCCUUCGGAAUCGGUUUCUGCCUCGUGCCGUCGUUAGUUUUUUGCACGCUACAAUGUACACUUGGGGUAAAUACUGUAUGUUACCAGAAAUCAACUACCAAAAUUUAUUGAGAUUAUAAGUCAUUGCAUGCUAUUAUUUUUAUUACUAUCAUCAGCAUCAUAGCUUGAAUCUGCAAAUGACUUAAUUCAAGACUCCCCUAUUUAAACUAAUAAUCCCCAAAAUCAAGUCCUAACCCUAAUCUUUUGACUAAGAUCAAUAUUUAACACAAAUACAAGAAUCAACAAUUUAAACUAAUAAUCCCCAAAAUCAAGUCCUACUAACCUUGAUCUUUUGAUUAAGAUCAAUAUUUAACACAAAUACAAGAAUUAAUACACAGAGAAGCAAUGAAAAUCAAAACUAACACAAGAGAAGAUAUUAUAGUGAUUCGGCCAUGAUCAUCCCUACAUCCACCGUGAAAAUCGACCAAAGCUUUUAUUAUCAAUGAGUUUACAAGAGGACAUGCUUUAGAGAAAAUAUAAAUGAAA
rnacentral:lncRNA from 1 species